GAUGAACGCUGGCGGCGUGCCUAAUACAUGCAAGUCGAGCGAACGGACGAGAAGCUUGCUUCUCUGAUGUUAGCGGCGGACGGGUGAGUAACACGUGGAUAACCUACCUAUAAGACUGGGAUAACUUCGGGAAACCGGAGCUAAUACCGGAUAAUAUUUUGAACCGCAUGGUUCAAAAGUGAGAGACGGUCUUGCUGUCACUUAUAGAUGGAUCCGCGCUGCAUUAGCUAGUUGGUAAGGUAACGGCUUACCAAGGCAACGAUGCAUAGCCGACCUGAGAGGGUGAUCGGCCACACUGGAACUGAGACACGGUCCAGACUCCUACGGGAGGCAGCAGUAGGGAAUCUUCCGCAAUGGGCGAAAGCCUGACGGAGCAACGCCGCGUGAGUGAUGAAGGUCUUCAGAUCGUAAAACUCUGUUAUUAGGGAAGAACAUAUGUGUAAGUAACUGUGCACAUCUUGACGGUACCUAAUCAGAAAGCCACGGCUAACUACGUG
rnacentral:rRNA from 1 species